UUUCACCCCGUUUUAUAUCUAAGAAAUUGUUCGUUAUCCUCGCAUUCAUAGGGAAGUGGUGCCCUCGCAGUGAAAUUAUUUUUGGGUUUAGGGUUUCUCAAGAAUUAGGGUUCCGGUCAUGUCGAGAAUUUCGGUUUUUAUGGAUAAGCUUGUGGCCUUGAUAGAACGAAAGCCGGCUUCAAUAUCCACAACAAUCAAUUUUUCUCUCUGAUUAGUUUUUACUUCAAUGAUUUUUCUUAGGAAAUUCUUUACGAUUUUUUGAUAAAGAAUUUGCUUUAUUGGCUGUAGCUUUGGAUUGUCUUAAUGAUGGUUUUGGUGGGUAAACACCAACACAGCUAAUCCAGAAUUUCUGAUAUAUUCUAAUCCUUUGGAAUUGUUGGUACUCGGAAUUUUACUGAAAUGAGCAUUCCUGUGAUGAUGGUAACUACUGAUACUUUUAAAAGAUCGUUCCAAUUACUGAAUAUCAAUGUGGAACUGAAGAGACAUCUGAGGAACAAAUAACUAUAAGUUUUCAUUGUGUCUGAUGAUAUGCCUUCAUCGUGCUUUCUAAUUUGAGGGUUUUUUCUAGCUGUUUUUAUAUCUUUAUAUUUCCUCGACAAACAAUAGUUCCUAAUUCUGGUUAUGGCAUUACAGAAGUGGUUGCGUAGAAUUUGUUGUAAUUGUUUUAUUUUCUACAAAUAUGCAUUUGUCUAUUUCUUUAUAUAUCCUUCUAAGCAUGACAGUUUAUUUCAUUAGUUAGAAGAUUAUUUAAUCGUAAUCAUCCCUCACAAAAAUGCAUGCUUUAGCUGAAAUCUCUUUACCCCUUUUCUAAGGUGAGUUUGCAGUGAUGUAUAUUUAGGCAUGAACCCUGAUUUAUAUAGCAGAUGUUACAGCGUCUUAUCAAAAACAGUCUUACAACCAAACUUAGGGUUUGUUUUCUAUAAUCUCCCAUAGUUAAAGUGGCGUUCAAGUCCACCUGAGUUACCAGGAAGUUCUAGUAAUUCCCUCUUGUAAUCUGGAUGCCAAUACAUUUCCGUCAUUUACCUAUUUAAAGGUAAACUCUUCCCAUUUGAAGGAAUUAUUCGGUCUUUCAUCCUGGUGCUGUAAUCAUUUAUUCAAACUGCGAAAAUAUCAAGGUGCACUUUCUCUGGAUUUGCUAAAUCAAAGGUAAUGACAUCUCAAUUAUGAAAUUCUGUUGAUGCAGAAUUUCAGGCUUAAGAUUUCCUCAUUUUUGGGCACUUCUUAUCGUCGUGUAGAAUUAUUAAAUUGCAUUUUUUCAUUAUCUGAUAUAUCAAUUGUGAAAGGGGCUGUUCGGUUACCAAUUUCUAGUGAAGCAGCGUUACAUGCUUAAGAUUGCCAUCAUACAUCUCUUCCCAGUUACAACAUUUAUCCAAAGCGUUUCAAUUAUGAGGUCACCGUCGGAUUAUGUUCCUUCUGUUCUCAGCACUGAUUCUAGAUGAGUAAGUAUUUGAGCAUAUUAUGUUUUUUGUGUAGUUUUAAUUCUUUCUUUAUUUUCAGUUAAUGGUCAUUCAAAGGCAAGGUCUUACUUUAGAUGCUCUUAUAGUAUAACGAUCCUAAUGUGGAUGAAAUCCCGGCGCUUAUUCAAUCAGCAUGUUUUACCGCCCCAGGUAAUAUAUAUUCCCAUUUUUAGUCGAAAGGUAAUGCUAUCACACAGGAAGUUAAAAUGUUGAGGAAUGUUUCAUUUGAUGAUGUUGCUUUUAUGUCAUCUAACAAUUUUACAUGAACUUAUAAUUUGGUAUUUGACAGACGUGCUGUUCUUAGAGAUCUGAAGUUCUUAGAAGCAGUAUCUCUAAGAUUGUUGAGGCAGUUGUGUUCUUCAGAACUACUUUUGAAAUGCAUUUAAAAUUGGUUACAAAUAUAUGCAAUAUCUGUGAAUUAAUUGCACAAAACGAUUCUUAAUUGCGUGAAAGUGAAGGGUGCAUAUGAGAACAAAGACAAUGGAUUGCAUACAUAAAUUUAUCACUUUUGGUGAAGCUUAA